rnacentral:lncRNA from 1 species
AAAUUAAAAGAGGAGAGGUUAGUUUUAUUUUCAUAAUUGAUGUGGCAGUUCUGACCAUUUCAUGCUCAAAUGGGUGCAAAAUCUUGCAAACUUCUAUGAAAUUUUUAUCGCCAUCGUCAUCAUGAUCGCAAUAUUAUCAUCUCCAUCUUCAUACGACCUUUGUAGAUUUUUUUAUUUAAAUGAUGAUUCUAGGCGGUUAUCAAUUUUCAAUGGUUAUAUUGGUUAGUUCAAUUCAUACAUUUAUCUACCCAAAAAAUAAAACAUACUUGAACUUUUAUUUUCCAAACUCCUUUCUUCGUCCUCUUCAAUAUUUUUUAUUUUUCUUCUAUUAUUUAUUCGUCGCAUCGCGCGGGUUACUAUACUAGUUAUAUAUAAUUGGGUAUGGAUAUGCCAGGGAUAUGGAUAUGCCAGGGCUCGAAGUCAUUUUUAAUUAUUAUAUGGCAUAUAUANAUUACACCAUUACACCAUUACCAUUACACUAUUACACCAUUACACCAUUACCAAUACACCAUUACACCAUUUACGCCAUUACACCAUUACACCAUUUGCCGACGGAGAAGAACACGCGCGAGUCUUUUUCAUUUUCUUCUUCUUUUUCAUUUUCUUUUUCUUCCUUCUGCGGAGGACCUCGACUCUCUCGAUCUCCGCUGACGGGGGCACCCCUUCCGCCGCC